AGCGGCGGACGGGUGAGUAACGCGUGGGUAACCUACCUCAUACAGGGGGAUAACAGUUGGAAACGGCUGCUAAUACCGCAUAAGCGCACAGUACCGCAUGGUACCGUGUGAAAAACUCCGGUGGUAUGAGAUGGACCCGCGUCUGAUCAGCUAGUUGGUGGGGUAACGGCCUACCAAGGCGACGAUCAGUAGCCGACCUGAGAGGGUGACCGGCCACAUUGGGACUGAGACACGGCCCAA
rnacentral:rRNA from 1 species